rnacentral:rRNA from 1 species
UACAGAGGGUGCGAGCGUUAAUCGGAAUUACUGGGCGUAAAGCGUGCGUAGACGGUUAUUUAAGUCGGGUGUGAAAGCCCCGGGCUCAACCUGGGAAUUGCAUUCGAGACUGAAUAGCUAGGGUACGGUAGAGGGAAGUGGAAUUUCCGGUGUAGAGGUGAAAUGCGUAGAUAUCAGGAGGAACACCCGUGGCUAAGGCGGUUCUCUAGUACGGUACUGACGCUGAGGUGCGAAAGCGUGGGGAGCAAACAGG